AGAGAGAGACAUGCGCGCAUAUCAAUAAGCGGAGGAAAAGAAACUAACAAGGAUUCCCCUAGUAACGGCGAGUGAAGCGGGAAGAGCUCAAAUUUGAAAUCUUAAAGGGUUUCCCUUUACGAAUUGUAGUUUAAAGAAGUGUUUUCUGUUGAGGUUUUGGUAAAAGUUCUUUGGAAUAGGACAUCAUAGAGGGUGAGAAUCCCGUAUUUGACCUUUACUUUCAACUUUGUGAUACACUUUCAAAGAGUCGGAUUGUUUGGGAAUGCAGUCCAAAAUGGGUGGUAAAUUUCAUCUAAAGCUAAAUAUUGGCGAGAGACCGAUAGCGAACAAGUACCGUGAGGGAAAGAUGAAAAGAACUUUGAAAAGAGAGUUAAACAGUACGUGAAAUUGUCAAAGAGGGAAGCGUUUGACACCAGUGUUGUUUUUCUGAAAAUCAAUUAAAGAACUGUUUAUGCUAAGCUUGUUUAGACUUUAUCAGCUAUCUGUUUAGUUUUGAGCUUUUCUUUAAUGCACUUUUCAGUUAACAAGUCAACAUCAAUUUCUUUUGCUGUAAAAAAGCUUGAGGAAGGUGGCUUGAGAUUCGUCUUAAGUGUUUAUAGCCUCUUGCCUAUGCAGUCGGAGAGAUUGAGGUCUGCAGCGUAGAUCCUUCGGGGCUAAAUGCAUUUGUGCUAAGUUAUAGCAUUUUAUAGACAACUUGUUGACUAUGAUUUGUCUUGUAGCUUACUCGCUUAUGUUAUUUUACCUACGCUUAGGAUGUUGAGCGCAUGUCUCUCUCU
rnacentral:rRNA from 1 species